AUUAGGAAAAAGCUGAGUCCAAAUGCCGUACUUUGGAGCGGGGGAUAAUUUUGGGGUGAAUCACGUGCCUAUUCACGUGUAGGGCUUUACACCUACUGCCCGAAUCCGUCAACUAACCUCGUAAGCUAAGAAAGGUGGACGU
rnacentral:sRNA from 2 species